UACGGGGGGGGGCAAGCGUUGUUCGGAAUUACUGGGCGUAAAGGGCUCGUAGGUGGCCAACUAAGUCAGACGUGAAAUCCCUCAGCUUAACUGGGGAACUGCGUCUGAUACUGGAUGGCUUGAGUUUGGGAGAGGGAUGCGGAAUUCCAGGUGUAGCGGUGAAAUGCGUAGAUAUCUGGAGGAACACCGGUGGAGAAGGCGGCAUCCUGGACCAACACUGACACUGAGGAGCGAAAGCCAGGGGAGCAAACGGG
rnacentral:rRNA from 1 species